rnacentral:rRNA from 1 species
UACGUAGGGGGCAAGCGUUGUCCGGAUUUAUUGGGCGUAAAGGGCGCGUAGGCGGCCAGCACAAGUCAGUUGUGAAAUCUCCGGGCUUAACUCGGAAAGGUCAACUGAUACUGUGCGGCUAGAGUGCAGAAGGGGCAACUGGAAUUCUCGGUGUAGCGGUGAAAUGCGUAGAUAUCGAGAGGAACACCUGCGGCGAAGGCGGGUUGCUGGGCUGACACUGACGCUGAUGCGCGAAAGCCAGGGGAGCGAACGGG